rnacentral:lncRNA from 1 species
UGCCAAACACCUCGGUUCCUCGGGUCUGAUCCUACACAGGUAGACUCCAGUGAGGUGCCAAACACACUCUAAACAACUCAUAAACAACUCCCCAAAAACCCCCUAAAACAUCCUCAAAACAUGCAUAGAAAACAACCACGAAAGGGCUGGACAGGGCACUUUCGGCGGUCGAAGGUCCCUUCCAGAGCCGAAAGCUAUACAGGUUCGGCGACAGGUUCGGCGGCCGAAGUCUCUCUCCAGAUCCGAAAGUCAGGCACUUUCGGCGGCCGAACAUCACCUUCGACGGCCGAAAGUCUGCUCCAGAUCCGAAACACAACUUUCGGGGGCAAGGUUUGGCGGCCAAUCCAUGCAUCCAUAGGCAGGUUCAGCGGCCGAAACUACCUUCUGCGGCCGAACCUGAGUUCAUCAGAACUCAGCCUCUCGUGCAUACCAGCCUCCAAAACCUUACCAAACACCCCAAACAAGCACCCAACCUCAUAAAAACAUGCAUAAACCCUUAACCAUGCACAAAGGAGCUUAAACAAGCUUAAACUCCAACAAAAAACAUCAUAGAGCAUACAUAAAGAGCUUAUGACCCACAUAAGCCAAAACCAUCAAAACUACUCAAAACCUCACUUGCUCUCUCCCAAUCAUGCAUACACUCUCCCACAAGCAUGAAGGAGCAUAAACAUUUGUCUAAACCUCCAACAAUCAGCACAUAAAUAUAUAUUGGGCAUAAAACCCACAUAAACCCUAACAUGCAUAUCUACCCAUACUCAACCAUCAAAACAUCUUUAAACUUACUUAAAACUUCAUUAAAACACAAGGAAAGCAAGGAUCUACACUUACCUCUUGAAGAUCGAGGGGUAGUGCGAUCCCUAACUCGGAGGUGUGGAGGAUCCAAGCUCCAAAAGCCUCAAGCUCCCAAAACUCCUAUUUAAGCUUCAAAGCUUCAAAACAAAGGGUAGAACUCAUGAAAACUUGAGGGGUGGGUAGAGAAAGCAUGAAAACGAUCAAAGGAGUACAAAAACUCACCUGAGCUCGAGAAUGGGGAGAAAACUCGCCCAUUUUCGAUAUGAGGGCUUUUUAUAGGUGGCCUGGUCAACGACCUUCGGCAGCCUAACGUGCCCCUAAACUCAUGCAUGUUCGGCGGCCGAACUUGAGGUUCGGCGGCCGAACCUUAGUUCAUUCAAACAAAGCUUUCGGAGGCCAAAAGCGCUCCCGAAACCUUCCCAUGUUUGGUGGCCGAACUUCACUUUCGGCGGCCGAACCUGGCAAAUGCCUCUUUGGUCCUUUCUUUUCAAAACUCAAUUCUUUUUCAUUUAAAACCAUGAAAUCAGUAAAAACAUUUUAGAAACCACAUUUUACCCCUCUAGAAGACUCUGGCAUCAUCAAAAUUCCAGAUUCCAACGGAGAUUCCGCCAGAAGGUAGGGAUUCCGAUGCCGGAAUCUAGCCGGGUAUUACAUCAAGUCUCGAGAAUAGCUAUCUCCUUCGAAUAUGAAGAAUAAAAAAUCAGCGGGGGGACCUCUGAUGCUACAUAACAAUCGCCCAAAAUAAGCUAUGAGCUGUCGCUACAAGAUAGGGUCACGUUGCAAGGAUCUGAUAAGUGGAAAACGCGGUCCAGCCUGAGAAAAGGAAGACCCAGACAUCUUAACGCUCAUAUUCAUCAUCAAGACUCGCUCUUUCCUUGAUAGAGCAUUCCCGUUACGCCUAUAAUUGCGGGAUCACCAAAUUGAUAGCUGGUGAUAUCCCUUAUCAAGAGCUGACUAUGUCAUCGCCGGAUUAUCGAAAAAAUGCUAUAUUUAUCUCCAUUUUCUUACAGUAUAAGAGGACAAGAAUCACAUAAACAAAAGUACGUUAUUUUCUUACAUAAAACUCUAAGCAAUUCAUUGCAUUCACUCUUUUUUUAGAAUACUGACUUGACCGUAGGAGUGGUUGCCAUGAGCACCUACCACCACCUUAUAGUCUCUUUCUGUAAGUCUAGUCAAUCACAUCACAGCUCCCUUUCGGCCACGUCAUCAAUCUAAACUCUAAAACAUUAAGAGUAAAAGAGGAAACUAACCUAGCACAUCUCCAAAAAUGGAGCCACCUUGAGCAUCUCACAAUAGAAGGUCCACAAUGGAGGUAGGGGAGCAUCAAGAUGCAGAAUUCUCUCUGUGCUAACAAUGGCUAGAUUAGCUAAUUUAUCUGUUACGUGAUUAGUUUCACGAUAAUAGUGCUUCAACCUUAUUUGCUAUGAACGUUCCAUAAGCUCUCGUCCUUGAGUUAACGGACUCAAAUAAUGCAGAUUAUCACAUUAAGGAAUGUCAGCUAAUAUGAUCAGAACUGUUGUGGAAUCAAUUUCCACAAUAACUUGUAAAAAACCAAGAUCCCAGGCAAGUUGUAAUCCUUUCAAUAUACCAGUCAGUUCAAUCUGAGGAGCAUUACACAGUUCUAACCGAACCAUAAAGCCCUCCAACCAACAGCCUCUGCCAUUCCUAAGCACUCCCCCACAACCACUCAAAUCUGAGUUUCCCUUAGACACAUCAUCGGUAUUCUAUAUCACCCACCUUUCAAAUGGAGGGAGGACACACGCUUUGGAAAAAAUAAAAAGACAUUCAAUCUCUUGGGGAUGAUGUCAGUAAGAUCUAAUCUUGAAAUUAAUGUUAAUUAAUUCAACUAAUUAGUGAUAAGCAUUAAACAUUAAUUAAGUCCAGCUUGCAUAAACACACAAAAAAGCUUAAAAAUGUAUGCUAACAAUUCUUAUCCUUCUCCAACCAUUUUUUAAUAUGAAGAAAAUUGUAAUACUUUUGUUUUAAGAGCUAAAAAUCAUGAAAAAUCAUAUCUCAUAAAAUUAUAUAUUAAAAAAUCUUUUAUAUAAUAAGUAGUUACACGUUAUACUAAUCUUGAAAUUUCAUAUAUUUCUUCGAACUUUAAUCGUAAUCCCCUUUCGUUUCAUUUAGUAUAUUAAGGUUAAAAUAAAUAUAAGACAGCUAAACUUUAUUUAAUUUAUAUAUAUUAAUUAUCAUAAAUAGUAAAAAUGUUAUUAUUAUUAUUAUUAUUAAAAAGUUUCAUUCGUUCAAAAAAAUUAAAAUGUUAUUUAUUAAUUAAUUGUAACAAUAAAAACUAAUAAAGGGUCACUUUUAGAUGAAUUUAUUUUGAGAGCUGUUCCAUUACAAUUUAUAAAGAUAUAGAUUUGAACACCUAAUAACUUAACAUAAGAGGAUUUAUCUUUUGAAUGGGUUAAGUGGGCUCAUGAGCUAACCCUAUCCGGUUUUCAAACCUCAAUUGCCUUUCCAAGUGAUGGAAAAGACAAUCAAAGAAAGAAAGAACAAGCAAUUUUUUUUUUUUUUUUUUGCAUAUUGUAAAUGUCAAAUCCAAAAUAAAAAAAAUAAAAAACUCUUUCACAAAUUAAUCUUAGCUUUGAUAUGGUUAAGACCAACCAAACCCAUGUUCGAUGUGGCCAAUUUUUACUUUAAGUAGAAAAAGCCAAAAGUACCCAAAUUCUCUGAAUUGAAUUGAAUUGAAAUCACUUUCUCCCAUUUUUUUUUUUUAAAUUUAAUUACUGAUACUUAUUAUUAUUAUUAUUAUUAUUAUUAUUAUUAUUAUUAUUUCCUUGAAAAUUUGGAAGUAUUUGCAGAAAAGAUGGAUAAUGAUGCCACGUAACCCAAAUUAUGACUGUAAUUUCAAUGAUUGGGGUUCAUCACCAUCGUCUAGGUCGUCCUCAUCCUUUGGUAAUUAAUGGUUAAUUUCUUCUAAUUUUCCUCACCUUGUAACUAUAGCCAUUCAUCAUCACUACUCACUAGGAUUUAAUUCUUUUUCCUUUUUCUUUUUUUUUUUUUUUUAAAAAAAAGAAAUAUGGAGAGGCUUCAAAUUAAAGAUAUCCUAUCUCUAUCCUUUAGUUUAAUCUAAGUUCAACUUUAGGUUGAUUAGAAAUUCUAUAGCUUUAAUAAUAGCUUUUUCUUUUCUUUUUUCUUUUAAAGAAACAUUUCAUUUAAAAAAAUCAAUAAUGAUAGACCUCGGUAACAAUGAGCAGCAAUAACAAGAAUUCGAAGAGGACAAGAUAUGGUAAUUGAAAGGGAAAAUUAUUUUUUUAUUUUUUAAUUAUAAUAUAAUUAAUGGAUUAAUUUUUUAUUUUAAAAUGUAAUGCUUCAAUUAUUUAAAUUUAAAGUUAUUCUAUCCCAUAAUUUUAUUAAGUCAAAUGAUUUAAAUCUAAAUCUAGUUAAAAAAAAUUAAAAUAUAAUUUUAAAAAUAUCUUUAUUAUUAAUAAAAAUUACUUAUUUUUAAAAUUUUCGAAUUUUUUUCAUUCAUCUUCCCACAUUCUUUUUAUUAUAUUCAUAUUUAAUUCAUUAUUGAAAGCAUAACAAUUUAUCUCUCAAAAACCUACUUCACACUAAUUGAAGAGGAGAUGGAAGAGCGGUUAACGACGCGAAUGGCCGGCGGGGCGAGCAGCGAGUAUCUCCAUGGGACGCGCAGCUAGUAGUGGGCGAUAGGACCGCAAAUGCUAGUGGGCGGGAGAGCAAAAAGCAACAAGCUCGCAGCGAGUAUCUCUGGUGGGACACGCAGCUAGUAGUGGAUGAUAGGACCGCGAAUGCGAGUGGGAGAGUAACCAGCAACAAACGACAGGAACAACGAGCGACGAGCAACACGGCAAGUGACAGAUGACAAUGAACGGUAGCAUUCAGAGGAGCAACCAUUAUGGAGUUUUAUUUUUAUUAUUAUUAUUUUUUAAUAAUUUAAAUUUUAUUUAUUUUAAUUUUUAUUAAAUCUAUUAAUUUUUAUUAAAUAUGUUGAGUUUGAAUAUUAAAUUUGUUAAAAUUUUAAUUUAUUUAUAUGGAUUGAAUUUGUGAUUUUAAUUGUUGCUUUAUUUUUUUAAUAGAUUUUUAUUGCGUAUUCCUAAAUAAAUAAUUUAAAAAGAAUUACAGAUAUUUAACACAUCCUUAAUUUACCUCUAUUUUACACUAUUAUUCAAAUAUUAUUUUUUUAAAAAUUUUACUAUUGAAAAAUUAUAGUUUUUAAUCUUUAAAAUUUUAUGAUUUUAAUAUAUCGGAUUCACUACGACGAAAUUUUUUUCGACGAGAGGUAAAUGUAGAGAGGGGACUAACAAGCUAAUUUGCCGACUAUAUAGCUUAAUGCAUGUCCAAACCCUGGCAGAGGUGACAUGAGAGAAUCUCUAAUUUUUAUAAAAUUAAAUUUUAUGAAUUAAAGUGUUAAUUUUUUGAAAAAAUUAAUUAGCACCUCUUCUUCCAUUAAAUGUAUUUUUGAUAAAAAAUUUUUAAUUUUGACAUAAUUAAAAUUAAAAAUAAAAAUAUUAAAUUUUAAAAAUAAAUAAAUAAAUUUAUUAAUUAUGUAAUAUACAUAAAAAUAAUAAUUUUUCUAAAUAAAAUAACUGAGCUAAAAUGAUUAAAUGAAGAUAAAUGAGAAAAGAAUGAAAUGGCGCAAUUUCCGUUGAUUUGGGUUUAUUAUCUUUUCUUUAAAAAAAAAAACAGCAAAUUGUAUCAAAAUUGAAAUUCCUUGAAUCUUUAAAUCAAAUUAAAUCGAUUAACGUAAAUAAAACUAAAUGAAUUUAUGCGAUUUUUCAAUUUUAAUAGUUUAAUAUAAAUUCUGAUCCGAAAAGCUACUUUAUUAAAAUUAUUAAAUCAAAUUGCUGCUAAAAUUUAUUAUUAUGUACAAAUAGUCAAACCCAUUUUUAGAAAAUUUAAAUGUAAAUUUAAGGUGGUGUGAGAUUUUUUUUUUUUAUUUGUUAAAAUUCAAGAUUGAAAAGAUAUAUUCGAGCAAAAAAACAUUCUAGCUAUAUCAUUUGACAACUUUAAUCAACUAAAAUAUAUAAUAAAAAUAUAUUAAAGGCAGCCGUCUAUUCCUCCACUUGACCUAAACUUUCAAUCAACUCCAAGUAUAAAGGAAAGGGAAAGGCCAACAUAGAAAGAUUCGACUCAACAAUCCAAACAAGAAUCCAACGGCUGUGAAACCCUAACUUUACUCGCGGAAACACGGGGCCGCUCUCCUUAAGAAUCCAACCCUAACCUAACCAUGGUUACUCUUAACUCGUCUUCUCUCAAUUAUUAGCCUCUUCUAUAUAUGCGUCCGUGUUGCUUAGCCUUUAUUGCUUCCUCGACCACUAUUCUUUAAUUCUUUCCUUUCUUUUUCUUGUUAUCAAAGAAAACCCAUCUUCCUUGUCCCUGCUAUUUAACCGUAUAUAUAUCUGAAUUUCAUGUUCCGGUACCGGAAAAUCUUUUCACUAUGAGCUGUAAUGGGUGUCGAAUCCUCCGAAAGGGCUGCAGUGAUGAUUGCAUGCUUCGACAAUGUCUCCAGGGAAUAGACGAUCCUCAGGCUCAGGCGAAUGCCACCGUCUUUGUUGCCAAGUUCUUCGGCCGUGCCGGCCUCAUAUCCUUCAUCUCCUCCGUGCCUGUACACCAGCGUCCCUGUAAGUCUCAAUACAAAUAUAUCACCUCAUGACACUUGUUUUAAACGAUGAUGGUGAAUAUCUGUUUUUUCAGCAUUGUUUCAAUCGCUUUUGUUUGAGGCUGUUGGGCGAACGGUGAAUCCAGUGAGUGGAGCAGUAGGGCUUCUCUGGACCGGUAACUGGCACGUUUGCCAGACGGCGGUGAUGACGGUGCUCCGUGGCGGUGCAAUAGAACCUAUGUUAGACUUUGAUGGUAGGAUGUUAGGACAGAACUUAGAUAACUUCUCAGAAUGUUCUAAGUUUAAGCCAAGGAAUGUGAGUUCAGGAUCGAAGACAACAAGAACAACAACUUUAAAGAUGAAGAGGUCUGGUGAUGAUGAUGAUGAAAGUAAAUGUGAACUGACAAAUCUUGACCUGUGUUUGAUGUACCCGACGGAGAAGAAGUUGCGGGCGACGACGCCAUCGGAGGAGGAGUCUGAAACUACAACGCUGGUUAGUGGUGGUUCUACGUCUGCAGGGACUAAUUGCAGUUUACAGGGAGGUGAAAGAAAGCUUUGGCCAUUAUUUAUAUGAUUUUUGUUUUUUUUUUUUAAAAAAAAUUAAAGCAUAGAAGAGAAAUUUUCAUAUUACUUAAUGCAUAAUUUCAUAAUAGAAGGAUUAAGAAUUGUAAUUUUUGUUAUUACGUAAUGGAUAAUUGCAUGCUGAGAAGAUUAAUCAAUCAUGCAUGCCUCUUGCCUCUUGCCUCUUGCCUCACAUUUGUCCGAGUUGCAGGCUUCUUAAUUAAUUAUUCAAUUUUUUUUAGAUAGAAUUAGUAUCCAGUUUAAAAUUGAUUAGAAUUGAAUAAAUUAAAAAUUAAAUUUUAGUAUUUAUGAAAAUCAAACUGAUCGAACUGAACUAAUAUGAUUCGAUUCGGUUUGAUUUGAUUAAUUUAAAUUUUUAAUAAUUUUUUUUAUUUUUUAUACUUUAUUUUUAAUAUUUUAAAAUUUAAUUAAAAUAUUUUAACCUUAAUAAUCUAAUCUCUUUAUAUUAUUGAAAAUAAUACAUUAUUAUCACUAAUCAGUUCACUUUGUGUUUUUUAUUUUUUCUGAUCAAAAUCGAAUCGAAUUGGAAUAAUUGAAAUUUUUAAAAUUAAAAACUAAAUCAAAUCAAAAUAAAUAAAAAUUUAAUCAAAUUUUUAAAUUAAUUCAAUUUAGUUAAUUUAUUCGAUUUGAAUAGAAUAUUUCACACUGAUAUCAAUAAAUAUAAAGUGUAAAUUAUGGAAGUAGAGAGUUUGAUCAUAAGAAAGAGGAAAUUGGGUGGCUUUUGUUACCCAUAAAGAGGCAUUUAGUUGUUUAUUAUGGCUAUCUUUUUUAUAAUGGAGUAAGGGUUUGCUGGUGGUGGGCAUAUCAACAUUAUAAUAAAAUUUCUCUUUAAAAUAAUUUGCUGCAGUCCCUUGUCUGAUCUUCCCUAGAUAUACUUCAAAAAAAUAUAUAUAUAUAUAUAUUUAUCUCUUUGUUUUUAAGCUUUGGCCCUUUAAAAUUACCAAGGGCCAAGAGGUUUGCAUGUCCUUUUUCAUUGUCCUCAGAAGAAGACUUGGUUUUCUAAUACAUGGGCAUUGUUCAUUUAGUUUCUAUGUAAAUUCAUGUGAGACAACAUUAUCACUUCAAAAGUUUAAUUGUUUUGCUGCUGAUAUAUCUGUAGCUAAUAGGAUAAGCGUUCAUCUGACUUAGUAAAAAGUCAAAUUCAAUAGAUUAAAUUUUAAUUAUUUUAAUUAAAUGAUUUGAUUUUUCUAAUAAAUUAUUUCUUUAUUACAAAAAAUAAAAUUAUCGGAUUAAAUUAAUACCUCCAUUACUUCUAAAGCCAGUGUUUUCUUGCCUCCAUAUAUAUAUAUAUAUAUAUAUAUAUAUAAUUAUACAAAUUUAACGAUUACUCUUCUCUUUCUUUUGGGUAAUAGUAGACAUGAUUCAUAAUAUUAAUGGGCUAAAUAUAAGUUAACGUUCAUUGUAAAUUUUCAUAUUAUAUUUUUAUAAAAGUAUAAUUAUUUAACUCUUAUAUAACAGAUGUGAGCUACACGUAUUCUAAAUUUUUUCAAUUAAAUAGUUAUAUUUAUAAAGCUCGAAGAAUUUAAUAAAAUGUAAUUAGAGUUUAUAAAUAAAUACAAAUCUGUUUGUAACCCCAACAGUUUUAUAAAUGGAUGUUGGAAAAAAAUGUUCUCUUUACAAAUUGAUUUUAAAUUCAUUUGCAAAUCUGUUUAUAUUUAUUUAAUUUUAUAAACGUAUUAAUAUUAGUUUGUGAAUUUAUUUGUUUCUAUUUAAUUUUACAAAUGGAUUAUAUGUCCGUUUAUGAAUUUGUUUGUAUCCAUUUACUGUUUGUUUCAAGUGUUGAAAUUGCAUCUCCUGGUCUGCACUUUUAUCGUGCCCACAGCUUACCUCACGAGAAUUUUGUAACAACUCUUUUUCACUUCUCAAUGUAACAACACUUAUAUUAUCCCUUAGUUGACUAUUGUUUGGGAAGAUAAUUCUUUUUGAGACUCCAAUUUACUUAAGCACGUAGCUAUAGGGAAUGGAUAUACUAGGACCAUUCCAAAAACCGUGGGGCAAAAUAAAUUUGUAAUAGUAGCUGUGGAGUAUUUUUCUAAAUGGUCCGAAGCAGAAAUAGUUCCCAACAUUACGGCUAGAAAGAUGAUAGACUUCACAUGGAAAAACAUCAUUUGCUGAUUUGGAAUACAAAAAAUACUUAUCUUAGAUAACGAAAAGUAGUUUAAUUGCGAUUCCUGCAGAGAUUUCACCCGAAAUAUGGGAAUAUGACAUAAGUUUUCCUCAAUGGCCCAUCCACAGACGAACGGCCAAAUCGAAGUAACAAACAGAGCUAUUCUCUAAUGAUUGAAGAAGCGGUUAGAUGGGACCAAAAAGAAUUGGGCAUCCAAACUACUCAGCAUCCUGUGGGCAUUUCAGACUAUACCCCGGACACCCACUAGAGAGACUCCAUUUGCGCUGGCAUUUAGAAUAGAAGCUGUAGUUCAUGUGGAACUGCAAAUUCCAACACAUCGAGUAUAGCUGAACGAUGAAGACCUCAAUAGUGAGAAGCUAAAAAGCAACCUGGAUGCCCUUGAGGAAAUCAGAGAUGAAGCAUAAGUACGAACAGGAGCAUAUCAACAAAAAGCAGCCAGAUAUUAUAACCAAAAGAUUUGUGAAAGAAAUUUAAAAGUAGGGGACUUAGCAUUGAGAAGAUUGAAAGCAACUAGAAAAAGGGUUGUUGUAGGUAAACUAGCACCAACAUUGGAGGGUCCUUUCAGAGUCACUAAGAUCAUUAGGCGAGGGGUAUAUAGAAUCGAGGAUCUACAAGGGAACCCGAAGCCUCACGCCUAGAAUAUCCAACAUCUAAAGAGGUAUUUCAAAUAGAAAAUGAGAUGUAAUUUUGACAUUAAAGAAAUGAAAUUCUUCUUCUGAAUUUAUUUUCCAUUUAAAAGUUUUCAAUUACAAAAAUUUGAGGCAACCACGGCUAGUAUCGACCUCGAAAGUUUAUCUCUAGUACCACAUAAGCCGAGUUGAGGAAUCAAAUGAAGAAAAAGAGCCUAACCAGGGUAGGUGCCUGUUAGGAACCCAAAGAUUACUGCAAUCCAAACACGCAGCAGAAAAAUUAAAAAAAAAAAACCUCUGAUUUCCUUCAGAGGAUCCAAGUGCUUCGUUUAUUUCAAAAAGAAGGAUAUGAGACUAACCUGUUAGACUCGAUGAGAGGAUACUAUUUCGGACUGAUUGUGCUGCUUUUUCAACGAACACCCUCUAUGGUAUCCACACGAACGUCUUUUAUCUUUCUAGAGUGCUAGCUCUCUCAAAGAUUGAUAAACCAUGUGCUCCCCAAUCUGCAACUGAAAAUGAAUUCUCUAAAAACGUUACUCCCACAAUUCGAGAAGAGGUUUUUAUUUGUUUCAGUCUUUUGGUUUCCCACAACUCUUUUCAUAAAAGAGUUGUAUUCAUAAUCAACUAUCACAAUCUCGCAGACACUCAAAUAUCUUACGUGAUAGUCUAUUUUGAUAAGGAAAACCAAAAAAUCUUUUAUCUAUAACAGUUACAGAUGCAGAAAAAAAAGAGCCUAACCACGGCAGGUGCAGGCCUCGAAAAUUGACCCCUGACACCAUAUAAGCCGAGUUGAGGAAUCAAAUAAAGAAAAAAAGAGCCCAACCACAACAGGUGCUGACCUUAGAAAUUGACCUUUGGAACCACAUAAGUCGAGUUGAGGAAUCAAAUUAAGAAAACCCAACCACGACAAGUGCCAGCCUCAAAAAUUGACACCCCGACACCAUAUAAGCUUAGUUAAGGAAUCAAAUGAAGCAAAAAAAGAGCCUAACCAUAGCAGGUGCCAGCCUAAAAAAUUGACUCUUGUACCACAUAAGCUGAGUUGAGGAAUCAAAUUAAGAAAUCCAACUAUGGCAAGUGCCAGUCUCAGAAAUUGACUCUUGGCACCACAUAAGCCGAGUUGAGGAAUCAAGUGAAGAAGAAAAAAUCCCAAUCAUAGUAGGAGCCGGCCUCGAAAAUUAACCCUUGGCACCAUAUAAGCCGAGUUGAGUAAUCAAAUGAAUAAAAAAGGAGCCCAACCAUGGCUGGUGUCGACCUAAAAAAUUGACCCCUAGCAGCAUAUAAAUCGAGUUGAGAAUCAAAUGAAGAAAAAGAGCCUAACCACGGGAAGUGCUAAUCUCAAAAAUUGACCUCUGGCACCAUAUAAGCUGAAUGGAGAAAUCAAAUGAAGAAAAAGAGUCCAACCACAGCAAGUGUCAGCCUUACAAAUUGCUCCCUAGCACCACAUAAGCCGAGUUGAGGAAUCAAAUGAAGAAAGUAAGCCCAACCACGGCAAGCGCCAACCUCGAAAUUGACCCAUGGCACCACAUAAGCCAAGUUGAGGAACUAAAUAAAAGAAAAAGCAAUCCUAGAAAGUGUCAGCCUCAAAAACUGACCUUUGCCACCAGCCAGUCAAGCUGAAGAACAAAAUGAGCGAGAAAUAAUCUUAAAAACUAGAAAACAUCAGCCUUGAAAGAUGUUCCAGUGUCAAAGAAAUAGGAAAGCCAUCUAAAAUCAUGAGGUUAAAGUAAUUUUCAGUAUAGAAAUCAGUUGCAUCAAUGAAUUACAUUCAAAUUAUAAAGCACACUGAUAGAAAAUAGCCAAGUCGGGUCAAAGCCUCAAAUAAAGUCACAAAGCACGUUAAACCAGAAUAAAAUUCAAACCAUCACUGAAAAACUAAGGUUAGGAAAAUAACCAAAAAAGUUGAAAUAUCAUUCAUCACUUAGCUACGCCAUUAGAGUUUGUUAUAGAAACAACAGGGGAAGGAGAAGUAGAGCUAACUAAAUCAUUAUUGCUAAGAGAUCGGAAAGGAUCAAUCUCUGGCUGAGUAGGGGUAAAAGGGGAAGGAUUCUUAGGAAGAGGGUUGUCAUUCUCUCCAUAGUGGACCUCCUCGCCAUCAAAGUCAAAUUCCAGAACUCUCAGGUCAGCCAAUCGAAUGGAUGGGGCAUCACAGGCAGCUUUGAGGCCCUAGUUAUAUCCUGAGGUAAACAUCUGAAAGGCCUCUUCAGAAAUCUUCUUCCGCGGCUCCUCCAAAUUCUUGUACUCGUGCACCCAUUCUUCACAGGCCUAGUGAACCCUAUCUUCGGCAGCCUUAGUGUCCCUCAACAAAGAUGCACACUUGUCCUCUAGAGUGGAGAUCUCAUGAUGAAGUUGUUAUUGCUGAAGCUGAGAAUUCUCCAUCUUAAGAGUCAGGCCUUUUAGUUCCUCGGCUUGUUUGUUGAGUUCAUUCUGGAGUACGAUGGCACGGGUCAAAGACUCAUCCCGUUGAUGACGAGUUUCCUCUAAACAUGAUAGCUGCGCAAAAGCUUCAUCCCGUUGCAACUCUAAUGCAGAGGCCCGCUGGGAUGAUCGGAUGACCUCCUCCUUUAACUCUUCAAGCUGCCUGGUGACGUCAAUAACUUGCCCUUUGAGAUUUAUGAUGUGCUCGUGACACACCGUUGUGGCAACUAAGUUCUCGUCUCAUCGUGCCUCUUUGACGCGGCAGUCCAUGGAGCUUUGGAUGGAUCAAUUUCGAGCAUCGAUCUCCAUAAAUGUACCUAAGGAGUAUCACAGAGAUGAAUGAUGUUAGCAAACUGUAAAUCUAGAAUAUGGGAAGGAAAAACAAUUAACUCACCAUAAGGAGCAGUUCCUUCAAAUUGUCCCUAAGGGUCUCUAAGGAGCACAAACUGUAGGUGGAUUGCUUCUUACUGGAGCAAGCCAAGUUGUAGAAAACUUUAAGGAACUAGGGGUCAAAGACGUCUGACACUACGUUGAAUACCUUGCUGCAUAACAUCCUAGUUAUGGAGACUGGUGUAGAAUCAACACCAACCUCAGCAGAAUUCAACAUGUCAUUGUCAGGCAUAGAGGACAGAUUUUCUACGACCCUUUUCCCCUUAUCAACAAAAGGGAGAGGGCUGACGUCAAUAGACAUAGAGGUCCUAGUUCGUUUGGAAGCACGAUCCUUUAUAACGAUGUCGUUAACAGCCUGGGGAGGAGAGGUACUUUGAGUUGGAGACCUAGUGCCCUCCUCUAAGCUAUCUUCCUUCGAUUCACUGGCAAUAAUAGUAUCCUUAGGGACCAUCUUGGGGGCAGCAGGAGUCUUGGAAGAGUUGGCGUCUCGGAAGGAACUGACGUACUAAAGGCAGUAAAACGAUUGCCUCUUGAUAUUGGCACCAAAGCUACCGAAGCCCAGAGGUGUGUGCAGAAGGUCAAAUGGAUGACAUUAGGGUUGCAGUAUGGAAGACCUCCUAGGGGACAUCAACAAUAGACUUAUUAGCCCAGAAGGAUGCUAGAUUAUCCUUAAGAUUGUCUUGAGACAAGUUAAAGUUCUUAGAAAGCUUAAUCUUGUCCAUUGGCAUGACAGAAGCUGAAAAGGAAAUGAAGAUUCAGUUAGAACUCAGUAUGGCAAAGAAAAAAUACAAGAGAAAAACUCAAAAGUACUGACUUGGUGACAUUCCUGUAAGGAGGACAUGAAUAUGCACUUCUCGACAUCAUAUUUUUUCCUUAUGGAGGUCAGUCAGAGAUGACAGAUCUAGUAAAAAAUGCUUAACCUAGGGAACUCGUUACAGCCCUGAGGUAUAUUCCCCCAAGAUAGGUCGACGUCCCACUCGACUCUUGAGCUUUCUUUUAAUUCAAUGACGAUAAAAUGCUCUACCCAACACUUACUUGAACUUUGUAGCCAAUAAAAAUAGAUAAUCCAGCUCGAGGACCAAAAUAAUAAAAUCCAUGGGCAAACCUAACCAGACGAAAGAAGGUAGAAAAAAAAUCAACAGAAGGGAUGAAACCCCAGCACAGAAUGAUGGAUUCGAAAUAACACACGAAUAGAAUGGAGUUAGGGAUUAGCAUUCGUGGAGUUACCCUAAAGCACUAGAAGACCUCAAUGAAAAAUGGGUAAAAGAGAAAGUUAACCCAAACUCAUGUUGUUUAAGGAAAAACACCAAAUUGCAUCCCCUGUUGAGCUCUAUUAAAACCCUAAGAGAUAGAUUAGAAAGGACUAUUCGCUCGUUACUCAAAGGCAUUCUAAUCCUAAAGAUUUCAGUAUCUAUUAGAUCACAGGGAAAUGUUUGAGUAGGGAAGAUAGAGUGACAGAAGAGACUAAAUCAUCCACCGCAGACAUUUCAGUGGAAGUCAUGAGAAGAGCAAUAACAUACCUCUGACCGAAAAAUCGAGAUAACAGAAGGAAGGAAGGAAAAAUAGUAGAAGUGAUGCCAGAAGGAGAGCAACGAGUGAAAGCGAAAUUCAAAAUUGGGGAAGACGAAAGAAAUAAUGUCUGUUAGAGCCCUCUUCUUGAUCCGCGCAAAAGUAAUUAGGAUCUCAAAAUUUACUCCAUCACUAAUCAUGAAAUAAUUAAUUAGGGAGUAAAGGGGCACUUGAUGACUAUCGGGCUCUAGACUACCAUGCUUACAAUAGCCCAAAUAAAAAGGGCCUAGACCGAUCUAAUACAAACCUAAAGCGCGAUGAAUAGAUAACACUCAAGGCAGUUCAAGUCUGUCUCCAUGGGCUGGAUAAAUACUUGAAUAGGCUUGGGGUAAUUAGGCAUGACCAACCAUCAAUCUCCGUAUAAAAAUAAAGUCCGCAAUAAUAGAGAUUAUGUUCAGAAGGUGUCGAAGGUAAUUAAAUAGUCGUCUGACGAGAAUAAGAACAUGGUAUUCACGAACAAGCUAUCCGCGUGAAGGUAACACUCGGGAUGGUGGAAGUACACUCGAAAAGACAAAAAGAAAAUUGAAAUAGAAAUAAAAAGAGAAAAGGAGAAAAACAGAGACUAAGCUUACCAUAAUACAUCUAAUUCCAGACCCAUUUUAGGAUCACAAGCACAUCAAUUAUAUUAUUUAAUUAAUAAAAUAUAUGUAUUGUCUUGCUUAGUUUAGUAGUUAAAGGAAUAUUACUCACUUAAAAGGCCUAAGUUUACAUCCUCCCAUCUUUACUCAAAUAUAUAUAUAUAUAUAUAUAUANNNNNNNNNNNNNNNNNNNNNNNNNNNNNNNNNNNNNNNNNNNNNNNNNNNNNNNNNNNNNNNNNNNNNNNNNNNNNNNNNNNNAUAUAUAUAUAUAUAUAUAUAUAUACUUCUCAUAAUCUCAAUUUGAUUCAGCAAGUAUCUUAAAAUUGAUUAAAAAUUCGAUUAAUAAAAUUUCUUUAUUCAAUUUAUUAAUUAAAUCUUUAUUUGGCUCCAUAAUAAAAAUUUUUUGAUUUCGCCUUCAAAUAAAUUUUUUAUGUGUAUAUAUAAUUCUAUUUGUAAUAAGAGAGGGUGUGUAAAUAAAAAAUACAAAUAGAUACAAAAUCCAUUUAUAUUAUAAAUUGGUAUUCAAUUUGUAAUAUAAACGAAUUAUUUUUUAUUUAAAAAAAAUAUAAAUAAAGUUUACACAAAUGAUAAAAAGUUUUUUUUUUAUUCAUUUAUAAUUUGGUAAAUUAAAUUAUAAACAAAAUUUUAUAAUUUAUAAAUAGAUAAAUCAGUUUGUAAAUUUAAUUUUUUUUAUAGUGAAGAUUUAAUAACUAUACUUUGUAAAGCUUAGCAAUUAAAUAAUUGUAAUUUUAUAAAUAUGAGGUAUGAAAGUUAAUAAUAAAAAAGUCAUAGUACCAAUUAACUUUUCCACAAUUUAAUUGUUGCACUUAUAUCCAUAACUAUUUCUCAAUUAAUAUUGAAAUACAUAUUAUUAGGUUGUUAUUAUUUUUAUUUUAAAAUUAUUCGAUUAAAAUAUUUGUUUAUUUUUUAAAAUUAAAUAUUUCAUAAAAAUAUUAUUAAUUAAUUUAUUUUAAUUUUAAUCAAAUAAAUAAAAUUAUAAAGACUUAAUAAUAUAUAUAAUUAAAAAUUAUAAAAAUUAAAUAAUAUAAAUAAUUUAAAAUAACUAACAGUUUUUUUAAUAAAAAAUUAAAAAAUUAAAUUUUAAAAAAUAUAUGAAAUUUUAAUUAAAUGAUUUUUUUUACAUUUUAAUUGAAUUAUUUUAAAAUAACAAACUAAUUAAUUUCAUAAAGUUCAUAUAUUUAAUAGUAAUUUAAUUUUAUGAAUAUUAACCUCUAUUAUAUCCAUACUUUGCCCAACGCAUCCCAAAUUGCUAUGUCUCUUAUCAUUCUUGCCUAAGCUUUUUGUUUUCAUUUUGGUUUGCAACUAAAGACGAGUUCGUCUCUGCAGUUCAAUUUUGAUGUAUAAGGUGGCAUGAUCAAAGCAAUGUGCUGAGGAUUUAGUGCUUUGUUUCUUUUAGGUUGGUGAGAGAUUGGACUCAAAACUUAAACAAAAUCCAUUAAGUUUCCUCUUUAUUUAAUUAAACCUCGACAGCUCUUCCUUUGAAGUCCAGACUCGUGUUUGGUGCCAGCCACCGCCGCCACUUCUAUCAUGAUCUCCAUCCCACGUUGCUGCUUCUGCCGCCUGUUGCUAUCCAUUAUCUCUCGCUCUUUUGAAAAAAAAAAAUUGUUUGGAGAUCUCGACGGAUGGCUGGAUAAAACUUAAGUUGUUUUAGUCUCCUUUAGGCAUUGAAGAACCAAGAAGUCAAACAUGGUUCAAGGAUUUUCAAUAAAUGUGUAAUUUAUUUUACAAGAAAGCAGAAAAAUUUGGGAAAUAAAAACACAUUUUAAAGAUGUUACCAGGUUUUAUGUACAAAGGGAAGAAGCGUUGAACAAAUUCUGGUGGGGGAGGGCGGCGGCUAAAGAUGUGAAUGAAUGGAACUGAGAAAUAAUGGAAUGGAAUGUUAAAUGUGAAAAGUAUUGUUUUUUUAAUGAAAAGGGAAGAAGGAUUCUAUGCACCGGCAGGAAGACAGAAUAUGUGGGCUGUCUCUCCCUUUGCAAAGACAUACUUCCCCAUGCCAUGUAAUGGGAUCACAACAAGACAUACAUGGCCACAAUCUGUUUCAGAUUGUAAAUUAGAUCGAAAUUGAAUCGGUUAAUGAUUUUAGUUUUUAAACUAGACUAGAACUUUAGUUUAGAGAGUAAGUUACAAAUUCUCUCUCUCAAUUAAAAUUAAAAUCAGCAGUACAGUUUGAUUUUGAUUUGAUUUUUUUUUAAAUAAAUUAUUUUAUAAAAUUGUGCCAUUUAAAAUUAAUGUACAAGCAAAUUAAAUUAUUAAAUAAUUAAACUCAUAUUUAUUUUUAACUUAUAAAAAAUAUUAUUUAUAUAAAAAUGUGAUACUAUUUUAUUUUUUAUAUUAUGUAUAAUUAAUGCUAUAUAAUAACCAUUUAAAAUGAGUUAUGAACUGUUAUCGCAAAAUAUAUUUACAUGGCAAGAAUUAUAAAAAAAAAAUUAUAUUCAUCUCUACUAUUUAUAGUAUAAAAGGAGAAGAAUCGCAAAAAUAAAAAUAUAUUGUUCUCUUAUAUAAAAGUUUUAAACAAUUAAUUGCAUUCUCUCUACUGGCUGAGAUACUGAUUUAAAUGUUAGAUUUAGUGUUGUGUGCACCUACCACCACCACCUCACAUUUUCUCCUCCCCAAAUUCUAAUAAAUUGCAGCACAGUCUUAUUCUGAUCAUGUCAUCAAUAUAAUCUUAACAAUAUCAGUAAUAUUAUUUUAUUUUUUUAUUAAAUAAAUAAUACAAUAUAAUUUAUUUAUUUAUUAAAAUAUAUAUUUAAUAAUAUUUAAAAUUUAUAUUAUUUUUUUAUAUUUUAUUUAAGUUUUUUAUUUUUAUUUUUAUUUUUAUUUUUAAAUUAAAAUUAAAUUGACCGUUUAUAAUUUAAAUUUAAUCAAAAAUUAAAAUUUAUUAAAAAUCGAAACAAUAACCGCUUUAAAAUUAGACUAAAACCUGACUAUAACGAUUAAAACAUAAAAUCUAUUUCAAAUCAUUUUUAAAUCAGACCGAUUCUAGUUCAGUUUAAAAUGUAAAUUAACCGUGAAUUCUAAAUAAAACCGUCCAUGACCACCUCUAACCACAAUCAUUGUUCGAAGCCAUUUAUUUUUUUUUUAAAAGGAUAAUGAGAUCUCUAAAUUUUUAAUAAAGUUUAUUAAUUUAUUUUUAUUUCAAAAUUAAUCAUUAAUUUAUUUUUAUUUCAAAAUUAAUCAAUUAAAAUAUUUUUAUAUUUUAUAAAAUUAUAUUAUUUAUUUAUUUAUUUAAAAAUUAUUAAUCAAUUUAUUUUAAUAUUAAUUAAAAAAUAAAUAAUAUAAAUAUUUAAAAUUAUAGCAAAUAAACAAUUUAAACAUUCAAAAGUUAUGUUUGUGAUCCUACAGGUUAAAGUGGGUAUAGGAAUCAUUCAAAGAAAAUGGACAUAUCUGAAAGGGACAAUGAGAUUGAGAUUGGAUUUUCUUUCAUCAAUAAAAUGCAAGGAUGAGUGAUUCUAGGCCUUCAUACAGCUAGAUGAAUUAAGAUGAUACAUGGAGAUUGCUUCUUCUUCUUCUUAUUAUUAUUAAAUAGAGUUAUUUGAAAUAAAAUUACAACUUAAUCGUGAAUAAAAAUGAAUUUGAAUUAGAAUUAAUUUAUUAUAAACUUAAACAAAUUUUGAAAUUUAUUUUAAAUAACAAUUAAUUUUUUAAUUCUUAUUAUUAUCUUUAUUGUGAAUAGGAGUGAAAAAUUUUAACCUCUUUAAAAUUUAAAAAUAUUUAAAAUUAAUUUACAUAAUAAAUUUAAAACAAAUUAAUUUGAAUAGCUUUUUAUCAAUGUAAAUAAUAUAAAAGAGUAAGGGUACUAUUUUCCCUUCUAUAUUUAUAAAUUAUAGAAAAAUUACUUAAUUCAGAGAAUUAAUUUAUUAUAAUUAUUGGGUUACCAUUCGAUCGGUUUAGUUUAAAAUCAAAUCGAAUUAAAUAAAUUAAAAAUUAAAAUUUUAGUAUUUAUACAAAUCGAAUCGAAUUGAUUUUGAUUAAAAAUAGAAUUGAAUCAAAUCAGUUUGAUCCGAUUCGAUUUGAUCGAUUUGAAUUUUUAAUAAAUUUCUUAUUUUUUACUCUUUAUUUUUAAUAUUUUAAAUUUUAAUUGAAAUAUUUUAAUUUUAAUAUGAUCUAAUCUUUAUAUUAUUGAAAAUAAUAUACUAUUAUCACUAAUCAGUUUAAUUUAAUUUUUUUUUAUUUUUUUUAUCAAAACCAAAUCGAACUGAAAUAAUAAAAAAGUUUUAAAUUUAAAAUCGAACCAAAUUAAAAUGUAUAAAAAAUCAAACCGAAUUAAUCAAUUUUUUCAGUUUCAACCGAAUACGGGACACCUAAUAAUAUUAUUUAUAAUCUAUUGAGUGUAAAUAUAUACUUAUUAUGAUUCAUUUAAUGCAUUAUUUAUAUUUGCUAAAGUUGAUUUAAUGCACCAAUAACAUAGAGACUUACAAUUUUAAUAAUAAUGGGUCGCACAUUUUUUUAUUUGUAAUAAUUUAUUUAUUUAUAUUAUAAAUUUAAAUUAUAAUAAAAAUUAACUAAAAGAAUUUAAACAUAAAUAAUACUACAAAUUUUAACGUUUGAAUUUAUUAUGUGGUAUUUUAUUAUUAUUAUCUUAAUAAUCUAAAAUUUAAUUUAAUUUUUAUAAAUUAAAUAAAUUUAUUAUUAGAUUUAUUUAAUCUUUUAUUAUUAUCUUUUAAUAAAUCGAAUAAUAUUGUUAAUUAUCUUUAAUAAACUUUAAAUCACUUAAAUGAUCCUAACAUUUAUAACUUUUAUUUAAAUUUAUUAAAAAUUAAUUAAGAUAAAAUAAAUUACUUACUAUAUCAUCAAUCUUAAUAAGUUUUUUUUACUAUAGAAAUUUUAUUUUUUAAAAUUAAAAUUUAUUAUUAAUAAUCUUAUCUCAAAAUUUUAAUUUUUUUUACUAUUUAUGUAUAUCACAAAUUACAAAUAUUUAUUUACUAACUUAAUAAUCUUAUCUCAAAAUUUUAAUUUUUUUUACUAUUUAUGUAUAUCACAAAUUACAAAUAUUUAUUUACUAACUUUAAUAUUUAAACAUAAUUGUUAAAAUUAAAAGGAUAACGUAUCACCUGAUAGUUUCAUAUAUAUAUUAUCAUUUUUAGGAUUAUUUAAUAUUUAUUUAAUAAUUUGGGUUAAAUAAAAAACCUAAAAAUUAUUUAAAUUCUUUAAAAUUGUAUUAUUUUGAGUUAUUGUGUAUUUUUUCUAUCUUAUAAUUUUUAUUCAUUUUAUUUUUUAAUGUAUUUAUCUUAAAAAUAUUAAAUUUUAUUAAAUAUUAAAAAAUAUUUUAAUAAAUUUUUUAAAAAUAAAAUAAAAUUAAGUAGAAUUAUAAUAAUUAAUUUAUAUGUUAUUAUAAUAUAAAAAAUAAUAACAAUUUUAAAAUAAUGAAAAAAAUGAUGGAUGGAAAGUAUUUUAAUUUUUUUUGGUGAAUUUGUUAUGUAAGAAGGUAGUUAUAACCGUUGAUGUUGGCCACUAACAGACGACUGUGCAAAUAAAUUAUUAUUAUUAUAUGUGAAGGUAAGUUUUGGAGUGUAACAUAGGGUUGUGUUAAGUUGGACCAUAUCUGCCUUUGGGCUCCUAAUCCAAAUCCAGCUCUGCUAUUAUUAGCAGCUUGGUUGUAUGAUUACGAUAAAAAAAAAAAAAAACUGUUUUUGUCAAUUUAUAGCUAUAUUGGUGGGAAAAUAUUUACUGUGAAAACAAUGGAAAAAGAAAGUUGCUACUGUUUUUGUUUCGGGAAAAAUAUUUUCUAUUUUCUUUUUAAUAGAAUGUAGAAUUCAUGGGAAAUGAGGGCCACGCUAUUCAGUUUUUUAUUUUUUCAGUUUGAUUUAAUUUUUAUUUUUAAAAAUUUUGAUUAUUUUAGUUUAUUUUAAUUUUAAUAAAAAAAUUAAAUCGAAUUAAUUAAUGAUAAUAAUUUAUUAUUUUUAAUAAUAUAAAGAGAUUAAAUCAUAAUUAAAAUUGAAAUAUUUCAAUAAAUAUGUAAAAAAUAAAAUCUCUAACCGAUUAAAUCAAAUUGAAUUAUACUAGUUCGAUUCAAAUAAAUUUAUAUUUAAAAUCAGUUCGGUUCAAUUUUCAUAUAUACUAAAAUUUUAGUUUUUAUUAUAUUUAAAAUUAAAUUGAUCGAAUACUCACUUAUAAAAUAGAGCUCGUAAAUCUCAUAUUACUUGUAUAUAAGCUAUCAAUUAACUUUUUUUAAAAAAUAACCAAAUCCAUAAUUCAACUAUUUGAGUAGCAUAGCUUCAAAAUCUUAAAAUUUUCGAUAUUUAAUAAAAUCAUAGUAUAUAUAAUGAUUGUAUUCGAUAAAUUCUUAGAAAAAGGAAGAAGGAAAAAAAGACUUAUAAACGGAAGAAGAAAGAAUAUCCUUAGACAGUUAAAGUGAGGAAGUUUUCUAAAAAAGCAUGAGUUAGUGCAUCAAAUUAAUAUCAAACCAGACAAAAGUAAAAAUGCUGGAACGCAGUUUUUCCUACUAUAUACUCAUUCAUUUGUUUACAAGGAACUUCCAUGAAAUAGAAGUAUAAAUUCUUCUCAGAGAAUAAGGAAAAAAAGGCAUUAUGGAUAAUUAAUAUUUAUUAAGUGAAAAAGUUUGAAUUAAUGAGAGACAGGGAAACUACCUUUUAUAUUUCCUACACACCAAAUGCUAUGAGUAGAAAGUGGAUAGGGUUGGAAUUCUUAACAUAUGGAACUACAAUCAUAGGAGAAUGUUAUAAAAAUUUACCCGAAUCGAGUAUAUAUAGAUUUAUAAUAUAAAAAUGAUAAUGCGUUAAACGCCUCUAAAUCAGAAUUCUUCGAGCCAGAAUCGAUGUUUGUGUUUGUCGUCCGUUUGUCAAUCUUCAGUAGAGGUUAUCCGUCCUCAAAGACACGUGCCGUUGGCCAAACCCUCACGACAGACGAGCUGCGCAGGCCGUUUUGAAGUAGAAUUCCCUCCGGGGAGACUUUGCUCCUCUUUUUGGACCACUAUAAAUUUUUAUUAUAAAUUUAUUUAGAUAAAAUCUAGACAAAAAUUAGACAUUUCGAAAUAAAAUUUAUCUAAGCUGAAUUUGUAUACUUUUAAUGUAAAAUAAUGGUAGAGUUCAUAUGAAAAAUCUUAUAUAUUUAGACGGCAACCGCUCAUGUAUUUUUUAAAUUGACUUAUUUUGUUUAUGCAAUUCAUCUUAUUAUUAAAUUUUUAAUUACAAAAUCAAAUAACAGUGCAAUUUUGUAAUAAUUGAAGCUUUAAUAGAGAUUAAGUUUAGAAGCAAAUCAAAAUUGAUAUUUUUUUGUCAGUGAUUAAUUAGUUAAUGGAGUAUGCAAACAUAUAACACUUGCUUUGAAGACACCCUUCCUUGAAUGUCCCCCACAAUCUUCAAAUACAUGGUAAAGUUUCCUUGAAAAAUGAUUUUUUUUUUCAUGGGCAAAUCAUGGUUAUGAAACAUCAAAUACAAUCUCACGCAAAGUGAUCCUCGAAAAAUUGAAAAGCCUCAAAUCAUCAUGACUUAGUAAUAGAUUUUGCAUUCAACCUGUUUGAUUUAAAAUUAAAUUAAAUAAAAAUUAAAAUUUUAAUAUUUAUAAAAUUUAAAUCAAUUUUCAGUAGAAAUAGUAAAUUAAAUCAAUAUAAUUCGAUUCGAUUUGAUUAGUUAUAAUAAAUUUUUUAUUUUUUAUAUUUUAUUUUUAAUAUUCUAAAAUUUAAUUAAAAUAUUUCAAUUUUAAUUAUGAUUUAAUCUUCUUAUAUUAUAAAAAAUAAUAUAUUAUUGCGCACUAAUCGGUUUAAUUCGAUUUUACUGUUUUUUCUGAUCAAAAUCAAACUCAAUCAAAAUAAUUAAAAUAUUAAAAAUAAAAAUUAAAUUAAAAAAAAUAAAAAAUCAACUAUAUUUCUAAAUUAAUUCAAUUGAAUUAAAUUUUUCGAUUAAAAUCGAAUACUACUCACCCUACUUAACAAUAUUAUCCAACAGCCUAAUUUUUCUUUUAGGCAUAUUGUGUUGGUAGCUAGUAAUUUUAUUUACUAUUUAUUUUGGUUGUUUAUUAUAGAUUUUGAGAAUUUUAUAUCGAUUCAAGUUUUAAGAAUUGAAAUUGCAUUUAAUAUAAUAUCAAUGGAAAUAGCAUAGGUCAAAAUAGAUAUGGUCUAAUUACUUUCUGAUCCAUAAAAUUAAAUCGUAAUAAAUAUAAUAUCGUAUAUUGCUCUCCAACUAUAACUAUAAAUUAAAUGCAACAAUGUAAGUUAGAAAUGACAUCUAAUCUUAGGUUAGGCUUGCUUACAAGACUCUACUAGCAAAAUGUGAAAAAAUAAAGUAGUUAAUAUGUUAGGCUUUGGUAGAUUUACUUUUAUUUUAUUGAUGCCUAAUUAUUAAAAAAACAAAAAUCCUCAACUUUUCUUCUUUUUAAUUGGCAUCCUAAUUCAAUAGAUUUAAUAUUGGUACAAUAAUACUAAUUUUUUAAAACUUAACGAAAUUUUAUCUAAUUUUAAAAUUGAAUUUGAGGGCAAUAUGAUCCUACUAAUGGGAAAUCCAAAUUACUUCAAAAUUAAAAUUAAAAAAAAAAAAAAAACAUUUUCACCUUUCUCCCUCCCUUUCUUCCCCAUCUCUCUCUCACAUAGAUGAAAAAGAAAAAUCACAAGCGAGCCGAAUCAUUAAGGGCCAUUCAAAAAAAAAAAAAGCAGUAGAAACAUGAUGAUUCCGUUUGUUUACAGUAUUUUUCUCUCCUUUGUACUUAAAAAAAUUUUAACUUUAUGUCUUACUAUUAGCUAUAAAGAAGCUUUUGUUUUGCCUAAGCAUUCCUAAAUUUAAGCAUCAACAUAUCUCAAAGCACAAGCAAUCCAUGCUUUUUCCAUAGAAUAGAAAAUGUGCGACCAUAUUAGCCCAAUUUUUGUGUAGACUCUACUUUGAUUUUUACUAUAAUUCUGUGUAAAUUGAGUUUAGAUAAUUUUUUUUCUGUAUAUAAAGUGCCAAUUUGCUGCUUAAAUUCUAAAGCCAAUUCAAGGAAAAGAAAACAAGAUUAAGAAAGCCAUGAAAAUCCAACUUCUCUUAACACUUCUUCUUUCGUUGCUCCUAAUACUCCCAACUACGCCACAGAAUAAUUUUGCAUGCGACCAGAGAAGUCCUGAAACAAGCCAAUAUCCCUUUUGUAAUACAACCCUUUCCUAUGAGGAUCGAGCCAAGGACCUUGUUUCACGUCUAACACUCCAAGAAAAGGUGCAACAACUAGUAAAUCAUGCAGCUGGAGUUUCCAGGCUUGGCAUCCCAGCCUAUGAAUGGUGGUCGGAGGCGCUGCAUGGGGUUUCAGAUGUUGGUUUUGGAGUACGUUUCAAUGCCACAGUGCCCGGCGCCACUAGCUUCCCAGCAGUGAUUUUGUCAGCUGCUAGUUUUAACGAGACACUGUGGUUGAAGAUGGGGCAGGUGGUGUCAACAGAGGCUCGAGCCAUGCACAACGUGGGACUAGCGGGGUUGACAUUUUGGAGUCCUAAUGUUAAUGUGUUCCGGGACCCUAGAUGGGGCCGUGGCCAAGAGACACCUGGUGAGGAUCCACUGGUGGUGUCAAAAUAUGCAGUGAAUUACGUUAGGGGCUUGCAAGAAGUUGGUGAAGAAGAGAAUUGUACAAGAGGUGAUAAGCUUAAAGUUUCAAGCUGUUGCAAGCAUUAUACUGCUUAUGAUCUUGACAAAUGGAAAGAUGUUGAUCGAUUUCACUUUGAUGCUAAGGUAUAAACAAAAUCCAAUUACUCAAUAGAGCACUUCCCUUCAGUGUGUCGAUCCGGUAUAAACAGAAUAUAAUAUAAAAAGUUUUGAUAAAAAUUUUACGACUCUUAAAAAUUUUAAGUGAAAAUGCAGGUGACAAAACAAGACCUAGAGGACACAUAUCAGCCACCAUUUAGGAGUUGCGUAGAGGAUGCACAUGUGAGUAGUGUGAUGUGUUCAUAUAACAAGGUGAAUGGAAUUCCUACUUGUGCUGAUCCUGACCUGCUCAAAGGGAUUAUUAGAGAUCAAUGGAAUCUUGAUGGGUUUGUUCUGCUUUUACUCUAUGUUUCAUGAUUAUUUAUUUUUUCUUAAUGAGAAUAAUUAUUCAUAAAUAAUUUUUUUUUAUGGAACUUGUGAAAUAGCACACUGAUAAACUUGACACCAUUUAAAGCAAUGAGUUUAUGUGUCCUUCCUACUUGUGCGUCUUUCACUUGUACUAUAUCUUUUCCAUAUGUGAAUUCUCGCUUGUAUAUUUCCUAUCAAUAUUGCUUGCAAGUGUGAAUUUCUUCUGUAUUGGUCUUAGUGGGCCUGCUUGAAUUCUUGAUGUUUCCCAUUGGGCCGUAACUUUCAACAUUGUCAUAAUCAAGGGAUUCAUUUUCGGAGUCAUGUUCUAACUCAUGGAGCCUGUUGUUGGCCAACCGGCUCAUCAUACUGAGAUCUUCAAUUUUUCUGUACAAUAACAACCAUCUUUCUCUAGGAACAUGGUGCUAUUGUAGUGCAUCAUCUUUUACUUCAUUGUCACUGCAAGGGAGAAGUGGGCAGCAGCAGCCCAUCUCGACAAGGCUAUACAUCUCCUCUGGCGACCUGGCGAAAUUUCUCUCUCUUUUCUUGUUCAAAUGCCCAGGACAUUCAAUUUUCACUAACUAUUUUUUUUUAUUUUUUAAUUCUUGUGCAGGUAUAUUGUCUCUGACUGUGAUUCCAUUGAGGUUUAUCAUGACAGAAUGAACUACACAGCUACUCCUGAAGAUGCAGUAGCCCUUGCUCUGAAAGCAGGUAUUUUACAAAAUACCCAAAAGAUUCAAAGAUCUAAAGCAUUUAGUUUUUCAUUUAUUACAUGAUCAUGACAUUGUAUGCAGGCUUGAACAUGAACUGUGGAGAAUUUUUACGCAAGUAUACGGAAAAUGCAGUGAAAUUGAAUAAAGUAGAAGAAUCUGUUGUAGACCAGGCCUUACUCUACGACUUCAUCGUUCUGAUGAGACUCGGUUUCUUUGACGGGGAUCCAAAAUCACUCCUAUUUGGGAAUCUUGGACCGUCUGAUGUAUGCAGUAAUGAACAUCAACUGCUGGCACUUGAUGCUGCAAGACAAGGAAUAGUCUUGUUAGACAACAAUGGAGCUCUUCCCUUGUCUAAAAACACCACCAAAAGCUUAGCAGUUAUAGGACCAAAUGCUAAUGUCACUGCAACUAUGAUAAGCAACUAUGCUGGUAUUCCCUGCCAGUACACCACCCCAUUACAAGGGCUACAAAAUUAUGUCCCAACAGCUACAUUUGAAGCUGGAUGUUCAGUGAGUUGCACUGAUGAUACACAAUUCGAGGCGGCGGCUAAGGUUGGAUCAACAGCUGAUGCAGUGGUGGUGGUUGUAGGGCUUGAUCAGUCAAUAGAGAGAGAGGAAUUGGAUAGAGAGAACUUGAUAUUGCCAGGAUAUCAGGAGAAACUUGUAUUGGAUGUUGCUAAUGCAGCAAAUGGAACAGUGAUUCUUGUUGUUAUGUCUGGUAGUCCUGUUGAUGUUUCCUUUGCCAAGAACAACAGCAAGAUUGGUGGGAUUUUAUGGGUUGGCUAUCCUGGGCAAGCAGGAGGAGAUGCCAUAGCCCAAGUCAUAUUUGGAGACUACAAUCCAGGUGAUUUGAUUCACACAGUAGUUAGAUUAAGGCCAUGUUCAAUUACAAUAACUAUUAUAAUAUUUUUUAUAAUUGUCGCUAAGUAGCAGAUAACUAAUCUAAUAGUGUUUAGCUAAAUGUUAGAACUCCUUUGAUCCUUAAGUAUUAGUGUCCGACUAACUUAAAAUACUAAAUACUACAUUCAAAAUUAUUACCGAACAGAGUUUAAGAUUGAAGCUUACUUAAGCUUGAAUUGAGAGGGUUUUUUUUUUUUUUUUUUGUUGUAAUUUUCAGCUGGAAGGUCUCCAUUUACUUGGUACCCACAAGCGUACGUGGAUCAAGUGCCAAUGACAAACAUGAACAUGCGAGCUAACGCAAGUGGAGACUAUCCUGGAAGAACCUACAGAUUCUACACAGGAGAAACUAUUUACAAGUUUGGCCAUGGAUUAAGCUAUUCAACCUUCUCCAAGUUCAUAGUUUCAGCUCCAUCAACUCUACCAAUAAAACCAAACUCUCACCUCAAAGCAAAUACCAUUCUCUCAGUUGAUGACUCCAUAGAGAAAUACCCUUUUGCCAAUAAUCAAGCCAUCGACGCUUCAUCCCUGAACUGCACAAGUUUGCAACUAGUUCUCGUCAUUGGAGUGAGAAACAACGGGCCAAGGAAUGGAGACCAUGUGGUGCUAGUGUUUUGGAAGCCACCAAACACCGCAGAGGUCAGUGUUGCACCAAGUUUGGAGCUGGUUGGGUUCAGCAGGGUGGAGGUUAAUAGAGGGAAGACAAAGAACACUACAGUGGUAAUAGAUGUUUGCAAGAGACUUGCUCUGGUGGAUAGUGAAGGGAAAAGGAAACUUGUAACAGGCCAACACACAUUUAUAAUUGGAUCUUCUAGCGAUAGACAAGUUAGGCACCAUGUUGAUAUUAGAUUGGCUCAAUAUGAACUAGGAGAAAGCAGAGUUUCUAUGUAAAUUUAGUAUGGCGUUGUGGGUAAUGCUGUGAGAGUUUAAUAUUAACUAAAUAAAUUUAUUAACACAUUCUAUUUUCUUGGGUUCAUAGUUAGAGGCAGAAAUUAUAUAAUUUAUAAAAAUAAAAAAUAAAAAAUAUAUAUAUAUAUAUAGAAAUUCUAGAAAAAUUCUAUCAGUUUUUUUCGAAUUAUAUCCAUCUUUACAUACUAGAGAAUGAACGUAACAAUUUUUUAUUUAAUAAUAUGGCACUAAAGUAUGAAAACAUAUGAAAGAUGCUCCCAAAACUUGGCUUGAGAAGACAGACAGAUCAAUAUGCUUCACCAAAGAUCUCAAUUACUUCCCUUCUUUGUUUCAAUGAAUCAUACUCGGGUUAAUUAGACAAUUUUGUAGGUUGGCUAAUCAUAUGGAUCAAGAAUUGACAAUAACAAGCAAUAAUAAAUAAAAAUGCCCUUCAUUUCGAUCUCGCUCAUUGUACAAAAUCAUCCCCACUGUUGUUGAGAAAAGGCAAAUAUAAUUAAUUCAGGCUCACACAUAUAAAUUUAACUCCAAUGAAAUUAUUCAGAUUAAAUUAAAAUAAUCGAUCGAAUUGAAUUAAUUUGAAAAUUCAAUUUGAUUUUAUAUUUUUUCGAUUUGAUUUAAUUUAAAUUUUCAAAAAUUUAAUUAUUUUGAUCCGGUUUGAUUUUAAUAAGGAAAACUUUAAUAAAAUCAAACCGAAGCGAUUAAUUAAUAAUACUACAUUAUUUUAAUAAUAUAUGAAAAUUAUAUCUAUCAAUAUUAAAAUAAUUCAACUAAAUCUUGAAAUAUUAAAAAUAAUUUAAGUCAACCUUAUGGGCAAAGCAUUUUUCUAUGAUGAACAAAAUUAAAUAAUAUCUCUAAAAUAUUUCUAUUUAUAAUCAAUUUAUUUUUGAAAUAUAAUGUGUUAGGGGAGGGAAGAGCAUUUUAUUUGACUUAAAUACUCAUAAACUCAACUAAACUAAAUUAUUUUGAUUUAAUUGGAUUGGAUUUUAUUUUACCAAAUUGAUUUAAUUUUCAUUUAAUCAAAAUAAAUAUUGAGUUUUCAAUUUUUAAAGUAAACUGAAUCCAUCAAAAGCUGGCCUUAAAGCAAUGAGUUAUGACUUUAGCCGAUAAUGCUGAUGAUCAUAUAUCAUGUGCCACAAACUGUAUCUGUCAAUAGAUGAUGAUCAAUGACGAUGCAAUUCUUCAAACUCACAACCCCAUCUUGACCAUUUCUAAUUUUCAAAUCCCCCAUGCAUUCUUUACCAUCCUCUUGAAACCAAGACCAAUUCAAUUGAAAUCACCAUAAACUGAAAACUAACAGCUUCCAGUUUCAAAAUCCUGCAAAGAAAAAUGAAAGAAAGAUUAACAAUCUUCAUCGUCAUCCUCCUCUUCAUUAUCUUAAUUCAUUCUUCCACAGUGCAUUCACGUGCUCUAGCUCCCUCACCAUCACCUGCACCAGUAAGUUCAUCCCUGCAAUUCCCACACUAAAUGUUUUUUUUUUUUUUCUUUUUUUGCCUGAUUUUGAAUUUUUCAGGUGGGUGGUGAGCCAGAGGCCGGAGGCCUGAACCUGUCUAAUGGAAGAGGUGGCUCUGGGAAGACAAUGAGAGGUUCAUUUCCUGCUGAAUGCCAUUUCAAGUGCAACCAAUGCAAACCCUGCAUGCCUGUUCAAGUAUCUGUUCCAGCAAUGGAAUUCAAAGAGAAUGAUGAGUACUAUCCACAAGUUUGGAAAUGUAUCUGUGGAGAAGAUAUUUUCUCUCCUUAAUUGCAUUUUCCCCCUUGUAUUUUUUAUAAAUUAUGGUUUGGUCCCUGAAUGGAAUCAAUUUCUUGCCAUAUUUAUCAUCUUUGCUUGGGGGCAGUGCAUGGCAUUAGCUAUUACUUGUUCCUUGAGAUAAUAGGGGAGCACAGAAAUGAAUCUGUUUGUUCAAUUCUUUGAUCUUUUUCUCUUUUCUUUUCUUUUCUCUUUUCUUUUCUUUUCUUUUUCUUUUUCUUUGUUUAGAAAAAUAAGAUUUGAGAUAAUUGCUCCAUAAAUGAUUUGAAUAUAGAGAAUUCUCUAUAUUUUUUAUUCUUUAAUUGUAAUUUAAAAAUAAAUAAUAUUAAUAAAUUUAUAUAAUAAUAAUAUUCAUAAAAUUGUUGAAAUCAAGAAAAUAACUUUUUCUUUAAAAAAAUAAGUCAUUUCCCUUAAAAAUAAUCUAAUUAUUUUUUUGAUAAGUACAAAUUUUCUAUUAACUAAUUUUCUUUUGAAUAUCUCCAACGUUGAAAAAUUAAUUUACAUUAAAAAUUUUAAUUUUAGAAAGAAUGAAAAUUAAAUCAUUCUGUUUUGAUUAGUUAACAGAAAAUUUCAUUAAUAUUCAUAGUUGAUAUAAUUCUGUUUUGAAUAAUUUAAAUAGAAUAAUUUUAAUUUCAGUAAAAAAUGAAAACAGAUUAUAACACAUUAAUAUUAAAUUACAUAUGAUUAUCCAAAGAAUAAAUGGAAAUCUUGUAACAUAAUACCUUAUAGUUUUAACUCGUAUUUCAGUUCUAUCUGAAAGAAUAACAGUUAGUAACGGCUAAUAAACAAAACGCAGUGUAAUAAGUAUAGGUUAAUGAAACGUUUCGUACAAGGAAAUGUACAGAGACAAGUUCAGUGUUUCUUCCCUAAGGUUAUACCAAACCGAAAAACAUCAGUCAUGCUUACCACCUGCGCUAUAUUAUGAAAGAGAAUUUAAGCGGAAAUAAAUAGUUAGUUUGAAAGUAGUUAGCAUACUGUUUAGAAGAACCUCUAGAUUGUUUUAGCAGUUUCCGCUUUUGUAUAUAUAAGUUAAUACAAAGCAAGUAAUGUACAUGAUUUUUUUUUCUCUCUUCUAUUUCCUAUCAUUGUUGCUUCUUUCCGUUCACGCUAUCAGAGAUUGAUAAUCAAGCUUCCGUAGCAGCCAUGGCCAGUACCAGCAAUAUGAUUCCAACUAUGAAUUAAAAGGGUCACCUCAUUAUACAUAAUUUUAAUUCUCUAGGAGCAGUGUUGGUGAGCAUACCACUCACUGAAGAAAACUACCUAACUUGGAACAGAUUGAUGAUGAUCGCACUACGAGCUAUGGAUAAGAUUGGCUUUGUCACUAGAAAACACAAGAAACUUGAGGAAGACUCUUAGGACUUUAAGCAAUGGCAGAAAGUGGAUAGUAUAGUGAUUUCUUGGAUUCUCAACUAUUUCUAAAGAAAUCGUGGACGCAUUUAUGUGUACCACAACUUCUCAUGUACUAUGGGAAGAGUUGGCUCAAUAUUUUGGAGGUAGCAAUAGACCUCAGAUCUACCUGAUCAUAAGAGAAAUCAGCUCAUUUCAACAAGGUAACAUAAAUGUAAUGGUUUACUUUACUAAACUCAAGAAAGGUUGAGAUGAAUUAGCUUGUAUUAGACCAUUUCUUAUAUGUACUUGUGGUGCUGUAAAAGAGAUGAGUGAAAUUUGUGAAAGUGACAAAUUGAUCCAGUUCCUCAUGAGACUAAAUUCAUCAUAUGAUCGCGUUUGGAACCAGAUCCUCCUCAUGGAUCCGUUUCCUCCAGUGAAUCGUGCCUAUGCCAUGGUAUUAAAAGUUGAAAAAUAAAGAGAGGUUAACAACCUUCAAACUAGAUGUAGCAGAUGGUUCCAUGGCCUUGAUGGCUAAGACACAAGGCAAUAGCAGGGAGAAUAUAGGUUAUAAAACAUCAUUCAAGAGAAGGGAGACUGAAAAGAAAGAUGAAAGGUUCUGCAACUACUACAAAAACACAGGACACACCAAGGACUCUUGUUUCAAGCUAAUCAGAUAUUCUAAAUGGUUCAAACAAAAGAAGGUAAAGCAUUUUGCAAAUGCUGUAGAAGAUACCUGCGAUACUGUACUUGUUGUUAAGCCAGACAAAGCCUGUAAAGAAGAACUAACUGCCAUCAUCACUAGCACAAUUCAGCAAGAACAGAGCAAGAUGAUAAAAGGUAAAAGGGUCUAGGAAGCCAACUGUACUGAAUUUACUGGAUUUGCAAGUAAAUUUAUUUAAAAUUCUUCUAUUUCUGUCCGUUCUAUUAAUACUAGUAAUUGGAUCAUAGAUAGUGGUGCUACAUUUCAUAUGUAUUCUUCCCUCACACAUUUACAAAACACUAAGCUUAUAACCAAACCCAUAAUUUUGUCCCUAAUGGAUUGACUAAAGAAGUUAAAAGGAUUGGUGAAAUCAGAUUUAAAACUAACCUGAUAUUGCAAAAUGUGUUUCACAUACCAGGUUUCAAACACCUCUUAUCUAUUCACUAACUUUUAAAGGAUUCUAAUGUUUCUGUGAUUUUUUUUUUAUCUAAAUCACUAUGAGUUACAAGACCUUUGGACUAAAGAGUUGAUUGUUAUGGAGCACCUCCAUGAAGGAUAAUACAAGAUCAGUAGCAAUUCAUUCUCUAUAAUAAGACAUGUAUCAGAAAAAGUUAAUGUCUGUGAUGAUGUAACUGGUUUCAAAAUGAAUAAAAGAGAUACUUCUUUAUGGCACAUUAGAUUUGGCCAUGCUUCCAUAUCAAAUCUUGCUCAUAUAGUGAGUUUUAACUGUGAUGCAGUAAUGUCACCAUGUCACAUAUGCCCUCUUACCAAACAGUCAAGACUGUCAUUUCAAAAAAGCUCAAUCCCUAGCCCCACUAUUUUUUACCUCUUAUACAUAGACAUCUAGGGACCUUACCACCUACCUACUUUUACAUGUGUCUCAUAUUUCUUAACCAUAGUGGACGACUACAGUAGAUCAACAUGGACAUACCUCAUGCAAAAUAAGUUUCAAGUCUAUUCACUCCUUUUCACCUUUCUCAAAAUGAUUUAAAUAUAAUACCAAGCCACUGUAAAACACAUAAGGACAGACAAUGGGGCAGAAUUCCUAAGUUCUUAUACAACAAAAUUGUUUCAAUAAUAUGACAUUAUCCAUAAAAAAAAAAUAAUAGCCUAUACACCCCAAUAGAACAGACUUAUAGAAAGAAAGCAUAAAACCCUUCUUCAAAUAGUUAGAGCUUUGAUGUUCCAUUCUGAUUUUCCAAAGAAUUUCUAGGGAGAGCCAGUCAUACAUGCCACUUAUCUGAUAAAUUGAACCCCAAGUUUAGUCAUUAAUUAGAAAACUCCCUAUAAACUUCUCAACAACAAAGUAUCAGAUUAUAGCAUACUGCGAUUUUUUGGAUGUUUGUGUUAUGCAACUAAUGUAAGACCUCACAAAACUAAGUUUGAACCCAAAGCAACCAAAUGCAUUUUUCUGGGUUUUGCCAUAAGCCAUAAGGCAUACAAAUCGUAUGACCUUAAUAAUAAGACUAUAUGUAUUUUCAGAGACGUCAUCUUUUAUGAAUCCAUCUUUCCCUACCAAACACAUAACCAGACAGAAUUUAAUCCCUCUUACCCUCUACAAGUUCAAGAAGAAUCCAAAAUAGAAUUCCACAGCAUCAUAAUACUCACCUUAUACCCAAUGAACACCAUCCGACCUCACUCUCAAACCUACAAUAGAAUGUCACUACAAACACACAGAUUCGAAGGAAUUCUAGGACUCAUCAGAAAUCAAGUUGGUUAAAUAACUUUAUAGCAAUAGCUCAAGAUGCAACAUGUGUCCCACACAACCACUCUAACAGUCUGAGCCCACCUUCAGAUACAUCAUUAAUCUAAAUUUCUUCAAACCAUUUUUAUUUUACACCUGCACACAAAGAUUUUG